rnacentral:rRNA from 1 species
AACGAACGCUGGCGGCAGGCUUAACACAUGCAAGUCGAACGCCCCGCAAGGGGAGUGGCAGACGGGUGAGUAACGCGUGGGAAUCUACCCAGAUCUUCGGAACAACUGAGGGAAACUUCAGCUAAUACCGGAUACGCCCUACGGGGGAAAGAUUUAUCGGAUUUGGAUGAGCCCGCGUUGGAUUAGCUAGUUGGUGGGGUAAUGGCCUACCAAGGCGACGAUCCAUAGCUGGUCUGAGAGGAUGAUCAGCCACACUGGGACUGAGACACGGCCCAGACUCCUACGGGAGGCAGCAGUGGGGAAUAUUGGACAAUGGGCGAAAGCCUGAUCCAGCCAUGCCGCGUGAGUGAUGAAGGCCUUAGGGUUGUAAAGCUCUUUCAGUAGGGAAGAUAAUGACGGUACCUACAGAAGAAGCCCCGGCUAACUUCGUGCCAGCAGCCGCAGUAAUAC